UGCUUUUUACUCAGUAAAUACUAAUAAUUCUUAAUGUGUAUAACCAUAGUUUAUUUACAACAAACUUUUACUUAUAUAAUAAUUUUCUAAUUUAAUCUAUCCUUAUCCAGUGAACAUUUUGUACAGGCUAAAUAUGAAUUAAGGGAUGGGUAAACACUGCUUUUUAAAUAUUAAAAGUUAAAUUAAUAUCUAUUUAAGUUAAGAUAUUGGGAUAUACACCAAACCUAUUAAAAAGAAGAUGCAGUAACUAAAAUAUUUUAUGGCAGCAAGCCUAAGAAAAUAAGAGAAAAUAGCUCAAAAAGAUUAGGAAAAGCAUGAUACAUGUAAUACUUUCAAAAAUCAUCACAGCACUAGCACAUUUUGUAUUAUACUAUUGUUUUUAAAGAAAUUGAAAAUGUACAAGUAAACAAAUGAAGUAUAGUAUAUAUGAAGUAUAGUAUAUAUGAAGUAAGUAUAUAUAAUUAAUUAGUCAUUAUUUUUCAGCUAAUCCAUUUUCUUUUGGAAACCAAUGAAAACUCGUAUGCAGAACCUAUUGACCAACCUGGACUAUCAGCAUCUAAGGAAACAGCUCAAUGAAGACAUGAAUAGUGACAAAAAUAUCCCACUCUCAAUCCAUAUUGAAGAAUAAAUCAACUUUGUGCAACAUAUACAGAUAGAAUUGCCCAGUCAUUGUCCAUCAUAUGUGCUAAGGAAUGUUCAAGUGAAGAAUGAAGAAGUGAAAAUAAUGAACAAUUCUGUAUAAAGAAUACAAAAUUAAAAGUUUAAGAA